rnacentral:snoRNA from 1 species
GUGAUGACGUCUUGGGGAGGGGGAGCGGUGACGAGGCGGUUAUCACGCUGA